ACCCCCUCGACCGUCCGAGCUUCCAUAAUACCGUCUGAACUUCUUCGACAAUGAGCUUUUCCAUUCAUCUACCGGGCCGCUCCAAAAGCUCUCUGGGCUUCACUAUCAGCCGAUCUUCUACAGUGAUCAACUAUUCUCCGAAUCCCUUUCAGACUUCUUCCGACCACGGAUGACCCUACUCCGAACUUUUUUCGGACUUCGUCAAUAUCCGAGCUUCUCCGACAACGAGAUUUCUACAGUAACCAGACUUCAUCCAAGUUUCUACGACGGUCGACCGCCUUUCGAAUUCUACCCGAGCUCCUGCGAGAGCCGAACUUCUACAGCAAGCAGUCUACUCCGAACUUCUACAGCAAGCAGUCUCCUCCGAACUCCUACUGCAAGCAGUCUACUUCGGAUAUCUACUCCGGAUCUCGGACGAGCUUCUACAAUGAGACAGGCUCCACCGGCCAGGUCACCACUCCGAGCUUCCAC
rnacentral:lncRNA from 1 species